rfam:Actinobacteria bacterium OV450 ctg8, whole genome shotgun sequence.
GGGCAGCGAUCGCCGAGUCCCCGUCAGGCGCGAGCCUGGGGAGCCGGGGACCCACAUGCGUCCCUGGGGUGAAUCGGACCGCCUCGUCAGAGGGGGCCCGUAGGAGACCUUCCUGCUCCGAACCCGUCAGCUAACCCGGUAGGCGAGAGGGAAGGAAAGG